UGAUAAUUUUCCAUAUGAACAAUUUAUGAACUCCUUUAAAAUGAAAAAGUAUGCGCUAUUACGUUAACAAGGGUAGGUCUUAAAGAGAGGGACAAAAUAAUAAGUUUGAAAGGUGUACUGCAUUUUAACGUGAUAAUAGGAUUCCACCAGUGUCUUUUGACAUCAACCAGAAUAAUAUAAAAUUCUUUCUCUGGGACUUUCUUUUCUUCAUGGUUCGAUAUACCUCUAGGCAAAAGACAUUAUUAUCAUCGUAGCUGUGGCUCGAUUAAUGAUUCACGAGAUGGAAUACGUUCAGUUCGUAUUUAAUAACGUCUGAGUUCGUUCUUUCUCCAGCGUGCCAGACAUCCGCUAUACGGGAUUCUCCGACUAUAUCUACGUACAGCGACUACAGGCCCAACAAGACUGGACAGGCCUUUGUGUUCAAAGGGUAUUGAAUUUGUUCAUUGAGGACAAGCACCCUCUGCUCUAUCCUAGGAUAAAAAUGUAAAAAACUUCGCAGUGCAACAGUCUAACAAACGUCAACAGUAACAGCAGAUAACUUUGAUAUCAACGACUAUGCUCCAUCACUCAUUGUCUGACCUAGAGCAUGGUGAUGACUAGUCAGUCUUACCGCGACCGCCAAGGGAUGCGGAUCUUCCCGUUAAAUAUACAUGUACCUUUAAUUUAUUAUAUUUCUUGAGCUCAAUAAACUUUAUUAUUUAAACUUUA